GGCUACGUGCGCGGGGUGUCGCGGCGGGUCGUGCCGGUUCGGAGCUGCGGGGAGCUCUGAACCCGCCGCGGCGGUGGCGGCCGCGCCCAUGGCGAGCAGCAGCGGCGGCGGCGGCAGGUAGGGUCGGGCGGGGCGGGGGCCCGCUCCCCCGGCCAUGGCGCAGACGGAGCCCCCGAAGGCGGUGCAGCUGUGGCGCGACGCCGCCCUUCGCGCGCGGAAGCUGCGGGGCGGCCCCGGCGAGCCCGAGCCGGAGCCCGAGCCGGACGCGGGGCCGCCGGGGGGGCCGCCAGCUCCCCCCGCCGCCGCCGUGCCCCGCCGCCUGACCUCGGCGGCGGCCCUGGGGGAGCUGGAGGCUCUGAACCUGAGCGGGCGGGGGCUGGAGGAGCUGCCUGAGGAGGUGGGCGCCGCCCUGAGCGGGCUGCGGGUGCUGAGUUUGCGGCGUAACCAGCUGGGCCGCCUGCCCGCCGCCGCUCUCCGCCACCUGGGCCGCCUGGCCGAGCUCGACCUCAGCCACAACCGGCUGCGGGGCUUGGGGGACGGCGGGGCGCUGGCAGAGCUGCGGAGCCUGCGCAAGCUCAGCCUCAGCCACAACGAACUGGGCGCCGAGGGCCCGGGCCUGCCUCCCCGCCUCUCUGAGCUGGGCCGCCUCGAGGAACUUGACCUCAGCUUCAACCGCCUGCGCCGCCUGCCCGAGGGCCUAGGCCGCCUGCAGCACCUCCGCACCCUCGACGUCGACCACAACCUGCUGCCCUCCUUCCCCGCCCCGCUGCUGGAGCUGGCCGCCCUGGAGGAGCUCGACUGCUCUGGCAACCGCCACCUCGGGGCCCUGCCCGAGGGCAUCGCUGCCCUCCGCCGCCUCAAGAUUCUCUGGCUGAGUGGCACUGGCCUGGCGACCCUGCCCGAGGGCCUCUGCCAGCUGAGUGCCCUCGAGAGCCUCAUGCUGGAUGGCAACCGGCUGCAAGCGCUGCCCGCUGGCUUCGGCAACCUGCAGCGGCUCAAGAUGCUGAACCUCUCCUCCAAUCUGCUGGGGGAGUUCCCUGCUGCCAUCUUGGCUCUCCCCAGCCUGGAGGAGCUCUACCUGAGCCGCAACCAGCUCACCCUGCUGCCUCCUGGUCUUUGUCAGCUCCACCAGCUCCGAACGCUCUGGCUGGACAAUAACCGCAUCCGCUACCUGCCUGACUCCAUCGUGCUCCUCCACAGCCUGGAGGAGCUGGUCCUGCAAGGCAAUCAGAUUGCCAUCCUCCCUGAGGGCUUCGGGCAGCUUUCCCGAGUCACCCUGUGGAAGAUCAAAGACAACCCCCUCAUCCAGCCCCCCUAUGAGGUGUGCAUGAAAGGCAUCCCUUACAUUGCAGCCUACCAGCAGGAGCUGGCCCACUCUCAGCCUGCCCUCAAACCCCGCCUCAAGCUGGUCCUUAUGGGCCUAAAAGAUGCAGGAAAGACCUUGCUGAGACGGUGCCUCAUGGAGGAGGAUGGGCCAAGGGAGGAAGUGGGAAGUCUGGAAGCAGGGAGCCCCCAGCUAAGGGGGUGUCCUGGACAGCAGGACAAUGGAACAUUGCCAGUUGGGUGUUGCCCCUUCCCGGAGCCUCAGGAUGCUUCCUCAGCGGGGGUACCUGCCACACAGCAGCUGGAACAUCUCCCCAUUGAGCGACAGGACAUCCCUUCUCACAUGCCCGUUCACCGAGUGAAAGGGGAAAUAUCGUGCCCUGCACCAUCACUGCCACCCACUGCCUCCCAGCCACCAUCAGGACUGGGGCUGUCAGGAGGCAGCAAGGGCAUUGAGGUGAUGGACUGGACAGCAGAUGCAGAGAGGGGCCUGACAUUCAUUGUGUAUGAGCUGGCAGGGGACCCGAGCUAUGAUGUUAUCCAGUCUUUCUUCCUGUCUCCCGGAGCCCUGUAUGUGCUGGUGGUGAAUUUGAGUGCCUACGUCCCUCAGCACUUUUACCCCUCUGUAGGCUAUUUCUUACACUGGCUUGGUUCCAAGGUGCCCCAUGCUGUGGUGUGUAUGGUGGGAACCCAUGCUGACCUCUGUGCGGAGCGGGAGUUGGAAGAGAAGUGCCUGGACAUCCAUCACCAGAUCGCUCAGCAGGAGAAGAGGGAUGCUGAGGGACUCCAGAGCUUGGUCCAGCAGGUGGAUGAGGCUCUGGGACAGGACUUUGACCUGCGCUGCUCCAGCCCGCACGCUGCCUUUUAUGGGGUCUCGGACAAGAACUUGCGGCGGAAGAAAGCCCAGUUUCAGUACCUGCUCACCCACCGCCCGCAGAUCCUCUCUCCAGUGCUGCCUUUCAGCUGCCGGGACCGCUGCCAGGUACAUCGCCUGCGGGACAAGCUCCUCUCGGUGGCUGAGCACCGAGAUAUCUUCCCAAACCUGCACCGCGUGUUGCCCAAAUCUUGGCAAGUGUUGGAAGAGCUGCACUUCCAGCCACAAGCUCAGCAACUGUGGCUUAGCUGGUGGGACUCUGCCCGGUUGGGCUUGCAGGCAGGCCUGACAGAGGAUCGACUCCAGAGUGCACUGUCCUACCUGCACGAGAGUGGGAAGCUGCUCUACUUUGAGGAGCACCUCACCUUGCGGGAGUAUGUGUUCCACAACCUGCCACGGCUCAUUGACAUCCUCAACGUCUUCUGCCAGCGGGAUGCUGCCGUGCUGCUCCAAAAACUGCUCAGCGACACCCAGAUAGAUGAACUGAGGGCUACUCAGCUCCAUCAUUACGUGGAGGGCUUCUUGCUGCAUGGCCUCCUGCCUGCCCAUGUUAUCCGUCUCCUUCUUAAGCCCCACAUCCAGAGCCGGGAGGAUCUGCAGCUCAUCCUGGAGCUGCUGGAGAAGAUGGGGCUCUGUUACUGUGUCAACAAACCCAAAUGCAAGCCCUUAAAUGGGGCGGCCGCUUGGUACAAGUUUCCUUGCUACGUGAAAAACGAGGUGCCCCAUGCAGAGGCUUGGAUCAACGGCGCCAGUCUGAGUGGACAGUCCUUCGUGGUCGAGCAGCUGCAGAUAGAAUAUAGCUUUCCAUUCAUUUUCCCACCCGGCUUGUUUGCACGCUACAGUGUCCAGAUUAACAGCCACGUGGUUCAGCGGUCAGAUGGCAAAUACCAGAUCUAUGCCUACCGGGGAAAGGUGCCCGUGGUGGUGAGUUACCGGCCUGCCAGGGGAGCUCUGCAGCCAGAUACUCUAUCUAUUGCUAGUCACGCAUCCCUACCAAAUAUCUGGACAGCCUGGCAAGCUAUUACCCCUUUAGUGGAAGAACUGAAUGUCCUGCUCCAGGAAUGGCCGGGCCUGUACUACACUGUGCACGUCCUCUGUUCAAAGUGCCUUAAAAGAGGGUCACCCAACCCACACACUUUUCCAGGAGAACUGCUGAGUCAGCCGAGACCAGAGGGACUGACGGAGAUCAUCUGUCCCAAGAACGGCAGCGAGCGAGUUAAUGUUGCCUUGGUUUACCCCCCCACUCCUACUGUGAUCAGCCCUUGUUCCAAAUAAAUCGUCAGUGCUGGUGCCAAAGGUUUUCCACCGGGCAGAACAUGGCUGAUGCUCUGCAGUGCUCCCAUCUCUCCAGUUGUGGAGUUGCAUGCUGACGGGGAUCGAUGGGACUUUGGACUCUGAAAUGCUGUGGGGCAGGGGCAGCUCUCAGGUGGGGCCUCAUGGCUGGAGUGGACGCAGUCACCUGGAGGUGUGGGAUGACAACGAGGCAUGAAGCAAAAUGAUUGCUGCAGAUGACAGGGCCACUGGCCAGAUGGAAAGCACUGGGGAUAGGAUUCUGUGGACACAUUGAUCACAUGUUGAAAACCCAUUUGGAUCUCAUGAUGAAUGUAAAAAUGUUCUUGGUACCAUUUAAUUCAGACCUACUUGCAGGAGAGUCUCUUGAAAUGAGCUGCAGCAGGAUUCCCUGGAUUUGUUCCUGGACAAGAAGAAACUAGCGAUCUGUUGCUGUGAUGUUGCGUGGAAGCCACGUUGUAAAGAAACCACAAACUGGAAUCCUUUUCCAGCCGGAGGCCUGUUUCCCAGUGCGCCCAUCUGGUCUGGGAUGCGUGAGCAUUGAAGGAGUGAGAGGACAGAGCAGAUGUCUUGCAGCCUGCUCCUUGGGACCACAGCCCUCCUGCCAGGGCAUGCCACAUCAUCAGGAGCAUGGCAGUACCUGGCCUGUGCAGGCACUAAGUUGGCACUGAAGCUGAAAUGCCGGGAGCAUGGCAAAUCAACCUAGCUGGGUCUAUCUAAUAUAAAAUGGUGAUCACUCAUCCACCCACUGUUUGGUAACUGGUGUAACUGUGUUUUCAUCUGUGGUUUUUUAAUAUGCAAAAGCCAUUUAAUUUUCUAUGCAGUUAAAAAACAUCUCCCCUUUGCAACUGCCAGGUGGGAGAUCUGUGCAGGAGAACCAAGCCAAGUGGCUGAGAGUCUUUUUGAUUUUACUGUUGCUCUCUUUUAAGGAUGCAUCCUGGAAUCCUCUGCACACAGUGUCCCUUUGAUGAGCCCCUGCUUCUUAGACCCCACUUAACAUCCCUGAGACCCAAGGAUGAGGACCUCAAUUUUUUAAAGGGUGUCAUUUUUUGGGGAGUCAAGCCACAAGGAAAAAGGGCUUGAAGGCAGUGCCCUAAAAGCAGAGAUACCCGAGUUCAGAGCUUGUAUUACAUACCUGUUCUUGUCCCUGCUCAGAGAGUUCCUGUAACUGAAACAGCUAAGGCCUCUGCAGAGCACCCUGCAGCCUUUACUGACAGUGUGUUAUGAAUAGGGCAGAAAGGACUGGGGCAUCAGUUGUCUCUGUGGAGCUGACAGUGAAUUUAACCCCUUUGGAAUAGAAGAAUCUCCUGGUACUAGAUGCCUACAUCACUCAAGAGGAUUGUGCUGGUUUUGCCUGUUGGUGUCCAGACCCUUUAUUUGCUGACCAGUUGAUUUCCUACUGAAACUGGUGCAGACAGGUUUGGAAGUAGAGCUGGCAAGUUGCUUUGCACUGCAGGACUUUUAGCAGCUGGAUCAUGUCCUGGAGUAUCUUGUAUUAUGCCCUGAAGCAAAACCUGGGAUUCAAACCUGCAUCCGUCCAAGUGAAACUCCCAGGAUAACAACUUUGCCAUCUGCUGGGUCUGUGUAAUGAGAGAAACUGCAUGUCCCUAAGCAGCACACAAACUUGUUGAGGUAGAGUGAGAUGGAGCUAAAAGGUGAUGUUGCCCAUCUAGCUCAUCUUAGGGCUUGCCAGGGUACUUGGAGGGCCCUGGCAACUGCAGAGGGUCCUGGGUGAUGGGACACCUUUGCUUUUACUGUGCUAAAGGCAAAGAGGUCAGAGAAAUACAAUUGUUUCCAACCUGCUGCAAUGUCAGGAUGCAUUUGACUAGUCUCCUUUUGUGUUCUUUCUGUACUGUCUCUGCUCUGAGUUUGGGGGACUCGGCUUUUAAACAGAACUAGAGAACAGAUUGGGAUCUAACCUGCCUUGUGGUCUCUCAAAUCAGAUGGAAAAGACUGGGGGCUGUGGAAGCUUGGGUUUUCUCCCUUGCAGCAUCCCCCAUACUGGAGUUCCACGGUGGCUGUGAAAACUCAAUAGUGUAUGUGGGUGCUGCUUUCCCAGGAACCCAAGAUGUGCUUGGCUGUGCUGUAGCACCAGAGCUUACAUGAGGUUCCUGUCCUCUUCUCUUUGUACCUCUGAGGUAAAGUUUGUAAUAGUGGCUCCUUCAUCUGAGGAGUUGGAUACAGUUGUGUUAAAGGGAACUGCAAAUGGUGUUAGGAGCUCACUAAGUGAGAUGAAAACCCAUGAGCUCCCUUCUGCAGAGCCAGAUCCCAGAGUUCAGCUCCUCACAUGGCCUUUGGAUGGGAUCUUGGGCUGGCAUCCUUGGAAACGCAGCGCAGGGAGAUGGGGAUGCUGCACUGCAGUAAGCACAAGAAGAGACAAGCCACAAGUGGGCCUCCAUGUAGCACUCAUCAUGCGCUUCAUGGCUCAGUUCAUGGACUGUAAUUGCAGGUAUUCAUAUACUCAACAUCAGUGGGCAGGACUCUGCGCACACGUACAUGCAUGCCCAGAAGCACAUGCACCACACCCACACUUGCCCACACAUCCUCGCCAAAACAACUGAGAAUAAAAGCAAUCUCAAUCUCAA